AGAACGAACGCUGGCGGCAGGCUUAACACAUGCAAGUCGAACGCUCCGCAAGGGGAGUGGCAGACGGGUGAGUAACGCGUGGGAACAUACCCCUCGGUUCGGAAUAACUCAGGGAAACUUGAGCUAAUACCGGAUACGGUCGAGAGGCGAAAGAUUUAUCGCCGAGGGAUUGGCCCGCGUCCGAUUAGCUAGUUGGUGAGGUAAUGGCUCACCAAGGCGACGAUCGGUAGCUGGUCUGAGAGGAUGAUCAGCCACAUUGGGACUGAGACACGGCCCAAACUCCUACGGGAGGCAGCAGUGGGGAAUAUUGGACAAUGGGCGAAGCCUGAUCCAGCCAUGCCGCGUGAGUGAUGACGGCCUUAGGGUUGUAAAGCUCUUUCGUCAGGGACGAUAAUGACGGUACCUGAAGAAGAGCCCGGCUAACUUCGCGCCAGCAGCCGC
rnacentral:rRNA from 1 species